GGACAUGUGGUAGAGUGGUUGAAUACGGUCGUCUUGAAAAUGAUUACUCCAAAAGAGUCGUGAGUUCGAAUCUCACCAUGUCCG
rfam:Rhizoctonia solani 123E scf_2336 mitochondrial, whole genome shotgun sequence.